rnacentral:lncRNA from 1 species
UAUUAGUAAUAGGUUUUUAUUCAGAGUCCUCAUUUUCCAGAUAGGUCACAUUAAACACAGCCAUUAAACAAUAGCGUUGAGAUAAAUCCAUACAAUGUAUGCUGCUUUUGUUGUUGUCCUUGUUCACCAAUCACUUGGUGCAGCUAAGAACCUUAUGGAGUGAUGGGUUGAUAAUGGAAAUAGCCAACCUGCAAAACACUGGGGCCAGGAAAGUCAGACUUUAAUCAGGUCUCAUUCAAUUAUAUUUCGAAUCAACACAUCUUGAUAGCCAAAACUCUCAUUUGAAUUAAUGCUCUGAUAAAUGCUGUCUGUUGUCAAAAGAAUAUAAUCAGACAAUUAUGACUGGGCAUAUAUUAUGCCAGACCUGUCUAUUUGUUGAACUCAGUAACUUCUACUCUAUUAGAUAACAAACAGCUUUUAACCUGGUUCUAAAAUAGCAUAUGCUCUAUUACUACAUGGCUUUUUUUUAUGGUGCCAUAUUUUAAAUCGAGCAAUGUCUAGAUCCUUUAAAGAGAAGUCAUGUUUUACAAGAUUUCAGCUAAUUUUGGAAAACAAAACAAGUUAGUUUCUCAACCAGGAAUUCAAUUAACCUAUGGAGUAGUGAGCCAAUCUUUGUCUAUUGCCUGCAAUAAAGUUAGAAGUGUCAGGUUAAGAAAUAGCAUGAAAGAAUUCUUUGAAAUUGCAUGAUAUGUCUCUUUAAUGUUUACUUUGGUAUAGGUAUAACUAACACAGAUUCUCACUACUUUUAACUGAUGAAAAAGUUAUUUUGUUGCUGAUUUUUUUUUUUAAUUCAUCUGUAUGCAAUUUUUAGAAGUUUGGGUUUCUUACUGAAAUUUCCAUGAAGUGAUUUUUUUUUUUUCUGUGCUUAACUUCAGUUACUUAAAGACCUAAAAGACCUAAAGUAAUAUCACAUCACAUAUUUUGUAUGUGUGGGAUAUUUUUGAGGGGUUAGUACUUGAAAGAUGUGAACUGAUUUUUUUUUUCACACUCUAAAUUAUGCUAAAACCCCUUCAAAUCUCACUGUUUGCUCAUGCAUCACCUAUUAGAGCAAGUUGUUCCCUAAAGGUGUGAUUUUGGCAUCUCAUAGGCUUCCUUGAAAGCCAAGCACCAGAGGUCUGCGAUAAAGGCAGCUGCCAGCUAAAUGAAUGAAAGCGAGAUUUCUUCAAUUCAACUAUAAAAGCUUAGAGUCCUGACUGCUGUAUUACCACCAACUUGUAAAUAAAUAAUCACUACUAAAUACAGAUAAUGUGUUAAACAGCUAACACUAGUAAAUCACUGGUGACAGAGAGCCUAAAGGUAAAUCCCUCACACAUUGGCACAACCAAUUCUUAAAAUCUUAUGGUGUUUUAAUGUCCUCAGACACAUAUAAUAAAUUGAACAACUGGUUACUUAGCAUUAAGAAUGUUUAAAAAAUAAACCCUACUCUCUUUGCUGAUUUCAUUU